rnacentral:rRNA from 1 species
AUUGAACGCUGGCGGCAGGCUUAACACAUGCAAGUCGAGCGGUAACAGAGAGAAGCUUGCUUCUCUGCUGACGAGCGGCGGACGGGUGAGUAAUGCCUAGGAAUCUGCCUAGUAGUGGGGGAUAACUUGCCGAAAGGUAAGCUAAUACCGCAUACGUCCUACGGGAGAAAGGAGGGGACCUUCGGGCCUUUCGCUAUUAGAUGAGCCUAGGUCGGAUUAGUUAGUUGGUGAGGUAAUGGCUCACCAAGACCGCGAUCCGUAACUGGUCUGAGAGGAUGAUCAGUCACACUGGAACUGAGACACGGUCCAGACUCCUACGGGAGGCAGCAGUGGGGAAUAUUGGACAAUGGGGGGAACCCUGAUCCAGCCAUGCCGCGUGUGUGAAGAAGGUCUUAGGACUGUAAAGCACUUUAAGUUGGGAGGAAGAGCAGUUAACUAAUAUUUGACUGUUUUGACGUUACCGACAGAAUAAGCACCGGCUAACUUCGUG